rnacentral:rRNA from 1 species
AGCCCAGCGUGAAGGCCUUAUCACUCCGGUGUUAAGGCGGUGCCACGUUAAUGACUUGUCAUAAUGUUUUGCUGAAGCUUCGUGAAUGCUUUUGAAUAAGCUUCAUUUUAGCCGAAGAGGGUGCAAGCCCCUUGGCGUUGUGGACGCAAAGCAUAGACUUGUCAUGAUAGAGUCGGGUUGCUUGAAAGUGCAACCUAAAGNAGAUGGUAAGCUCCAUCUAAGGCUAAAUAUCGCUGUGAGACCGAUAGCAAACAAGUACCGUGAGGGAAAGUUGCAAAGAACUUUGAAGAGAGAGUUCAAUAGGACGUGAAACCGUUUGCAGGUAAACAGAUGGACCCACGAAGUCCGGUUGAUCAGAGGAUUCAAAUCUUGCAAUUUGUUCUCUACAAGUAAUUGCUUCCUUGACGGAAGUGUAUGCUUGUGUGAGUGCGUUUGUGAGAUGCAUUUUCUCUGAUCACGAUGGAGCUCUGACUGCUAAAUGACUUUCAUUGUGUAGGGCGGCUUCUUGCUGGGAGAUGAACCUUAGGGAUCAAUUCUACAGCUUGAGGUUUCAGUGAAGUCAUUUCAAGUGGUUGAAGUACUCACUUCGGUGAGUGUUCAGGUUGUCGAUGAUUGUUUUAGGCAGAUCGUGCAGGUAUUCAUUCUUUCGGCUCUUGAAGUUGAAAGUGAAUAUUAUGCAGG